GGGGAUGUAGCUCAGUUGGUUAGAGUGCCGGCCUGUCACGCCGGAGGUCGCGAGUUCGAGUCUCGUCAUCCCCG
rnacentral:tRNA from 1 species